rnacentral:lncRNA from 1 species
GAUAUUUUCUUUGCCUGGUUAGGCUGUCAAACACCCUGACCUCGUCAAUGUUUUAAAAGGUAGGAGUUGUUACAGUUCUCAGUCCCCUAAGAGGCUGACCAAGUGCUGAGAGGGGCUCCCAGCUUCUCUGCAUUCUGGAAAACCCACCGCAGAGCCCCGCCCUAGUGUGCUUCCGGUAAGAAACCAAAGAAAAAAGCCUACUGUCUGGUCCCUAGCAUUGGCUGCCCACCCUCUGAAAAGCGACUGAGUCCUUGAGUCUCCUGGGAUGUUCAUAUGAAUCCCCUUGAAGCUUUAAUUUGAUAAGACCUCAGUGGAGACUGCUGAACCCCUGGGAUUUAACAUCAUAUAUUAUUCAUUGUUGCUGUUGCCACAGACGUGCUGAUUUUGCCCCUGCUGAGCAAGGCACUUCUGCACAUGGGAACUUGAUGGCUAACCACACUGCAUGUUCUUCAGGCAGGGCCUAUCCCAGAACGUUCCAAGCUGUCUGCUAGCAAGUCUGCAUUAACUCCCUCAAUGCUGCAUGCACGGUGUCCCUGAGUCCUUCACCACCCGCCCCGCCACCAGAGCCAGUCUUUUUAAGAAUUUUGCCUGGGCUGUGUUUUUCAAAGUGCCUCUCUCUAGUGUGCAUCUCUUCUUAAUCACAGAAAGCAGAUCUGAGAGCUUCUAAUGCACUUCUCUAUUACUUCAAGAACACUGUGUAUAAUAAUAAACUCUACAGAAAUAAACCAAAUCACAAGAAGCUUUCAGGUCUGGAGGCUGACAUUUCUCAAGACAGAUGCAAAAACCCAGGCCCAGAGAGAUGAAGAAACCUGGCUAAGGUAACAUGUAAGUUAGUGUCAAAAUCAGGAUAAAACCCAGAUCUUCUGACUCUUAGUAUAGCUCUCUUUUUACCCAGCCACACUGCCUGUGUCCCUGGGACUGUUAGUAAAAUAACAGGUGAGCUGGACCCCCUUUUUGAGAUGACUGGGUAUGUUUACUGUCUGGGUCAGAUCAGUCAAGUACUCUGAGUCUAGGGUUGUUCCUAGAACAGAAGCUGGGGUUGAUGAGCAUUUGUGAGUAUUGGAGAAGGAGUGAGGGGGAGAAGCCUCACACGCAAACCCAGGCCCUGGUUUCAAUUUCGUGUAUGAGAUUACCUGAGAACGGAAUGCAAGUAACAGGCAAAUAAUUGACAUCUCAAACCUAACUGUGUAUGCAUCCUGAGUAGCUAAUAGUGAGCUGUUCACUACUAAUGCUGUGUGUAGGUUCAUCCCAAAGACAGGCUGAUCCACACAUAGACAGGCUGGUCCUAUGAUUAAGGAGUGUGAGCUGGCAUUCCCUUUAUCAGGACAAAGAUAGGUUCUGCUUCCUCUGGAUAGUCUUCAGGCAAAGCUUUACUUAUGGCCUUGCAAAUAACCCAUGGUCUCUUGGUCGAUGAACAAAAUAGCAGUAAAGAAGAUGAAUUCUCCUUAUUUAUCUUCAGUUUUCUCCCUGGAGUGAAAGUGAGGGUUAUUCUCUGGUAUAUUAGAAAAAUAGUACAUUAUACUACCUAAUGGGUUUCAGUCUGACUCAAAAUGAAAGGAUAACAGGAAAUGGGGUGCUGUUUUGCUGAGUAGCUGAGAUAGCCUACCUUAUUAAUUCUAAGUAUGUCUCUAUUUUCCCUUUCCAAUGCUUCUUGGUUUCUUAGCCAUUUCUAAAUCCCCUUUCCCCAUGUGCAGCAUGGUGUGGGUAGAGAUAGGAAUAAGAAGCGGCUAAU